GAAAUUUAAAAAAAAAAAAAAAACGAAACCUAAGUUGACGGGAGAAAUAGAAAACUUGCAGCAGCGGCGGCUGCGGCGGCGGCGACAGGAACAAGGGAGUAAAAGGAGAAUAGAAAGAGAAUAAAACAGCAGCGUGUAUGCGAAUCUUCAGAAUUAGGCUAGUUUUCAGGAAUUAGAGCUUUUCAAGCUGUAACUGCUAAAGGCUGAAGCAGAACUGAAUGGGAUGUCACAUGACAUUUGUGUG
rnacentral:misc_RNA from 1 species